rnacentral:rRNA from 11 species
UGAAAAAGCCCAAAUACUCUGAAGGCUCCAGAUCCUGUCUGAUCUGGGAAAUUAAGCAGGGUCAGAGCUGCUUAGUGGUUGGAUGGGAGGCUGCCAAUGAACCUUAGGUUCUGUUUCAG